rnacentral:lncRNA from 1 species
GUAGUGAAUUGCAGGAGUUAAGAAUUAUUUUUGAGGCUGGCUACCAUACCUCCUACAGAGACUACAGGGACUUAAAAAUUUUAAGGAUGCUCAUGAUCACUAGCUAACAUUUUUAAUCAAUGCAUUGAUGAAUUAAUUAUCUUCUGUUCUUGCUCAAGAGACAUACUCUUUUGGUCUUCAUGAUUGUGUUCUUAUGCAAAUAGGCGAUGAGCUCACUCCUGGAACCACAUCAUGAGAGGUAUUUUUCUUCAACCACUGCUGAGAUAAAGUUCUACACAUAAGAACCACUCCUGGAAAAGACACAUCUCUGGGCUGACCAAAGAUCAUAAUCCAUCUCUGUGCAACAUGGAAGACAAGACACCUCUAAGAAAA